ACAACACCGACGACGUUACUCCU
rnacentral:snRNA from 1 species